UGAAACGAAAAUAAUAAUGGUGUCGCGAUCUAUGCAGAAACAAAAGUGCAAACGUUAUUAUAUAGUCUUUAACAGCCCGACGCGUGGCGCAUUGUAGGAACGCAAGAAAACAAACAAAGAUACUUUUAAACGUAUUUAUAAAACGUCACACACAAACGUAAUCAGGGAGAAAAUACGUUUCCGGUCAAACGUAUUUGAGAAUACAUUUUAGUGUUGGGGGAACGUCGUUUUUAGGAGUGUUGCAAUAUUAUAACCUUAACUGUUUUGAUGGAGGCUACUCUUACUUAAGGAAGGGAUGUGUUCUUACUCCAUGAGCUACAUAUCACUCUUCACAGGAGUGAAUGAGAACUUGACAUCCUCCAGCCCUUGGAGCUCCUGACUAGUGCAGAGUUCCUCCUUAACGUGUGGGGGCUCUGGGUCCUCCUGUUUCAGACUGCUGAGGGGGAACCUCUUCUUUAACGACCAACAGCUGCUGGAGGUCUGCAGGAAAACAGUAAACACACACAGAGACGUCACAAAGGCAUUUUAGUAUUGAGCAAAUCCUUUACAUAUACUUUUUUUUCCUGCCAUCAUUCCCUCUUACACUCCCUGUGCAGUUACCAAACAGACAUGCUGACACAAAUCAUAAAGACACAACGCACCAGCAGCAAUGAGGUCAUCAAUAGUUUACAUGGCAAAAAAAGUGUGGUCAUGGCUGCAGCCGCAGCCCGACUAUCUACAAAAAGUUCCCUAAUCCUUAAAAUUAUUCUCAGCUAAACAAUGAUCUAAGUGAUUAUCUUUCAUUGAUGACCCUGUUCUUCUGAUCAAACUCUGUAUGACAUCACUAACGUUACCCGAAGGCUGCUCCACAAACAGAUGUUCUGCUUGUUGGUCACAUGUUGUGAAACUGCUGCUGCUUCCUCUCUUACUUGUGAGGGUUUAUUGUGAAAACAGAUUCAUGAAAAACAUGCAGACCUUAUAACAUGUCCUGUAAUGUGAAGGGAUCAUUUUUAUUCUACUUAUCGACAUCUUCAUUUGUCAGCUUCUAGUAAAAAAAUAUCUUCAAAAACACAGAUAUAUAAUUUAAUUCUUUCAAAAAAGGCUCAGUUAAAAAAGCUGGUCAAUUUAGUUUUUAUCAAACACACUUUAUGUUUUGUACUGAUAAGUUUCAUGCAGAGCCAAACGUUAAAGUGCUUCAACAUUGUCUAUGAGAUCCUGUACCUGCCGACUCGUACAUGUAACCACAGGUUGUCAGGAUCCCUGUCUGACCCGUUGUGUGUUAACCUCCGUUUCCCCUGAUCUCCUCUCAUGUGUUCUGUCAUUCCCCUGUUAUUGUGGGCUAUGUGCUCUGUCAUUUUCCUCUGCCUCCAGACGCCUCCCAUUCCCCGUUCCCGCUGGGCCGCAGCGGUUCCCCCUUCCCGCUGGGUUGCAGCUCACUCCGGCUCCCCGUGUCCCGACGGCGGUCCGGCCGACUCCGGCUCCCCGUGUCCCGACAGCGGUCCGGCCGAUUCCGGUUCCCCGUGUCCCGACAGCGGUCCGGCCGACUCCGGUUCCCCGUGUCCCGACAGCGGUCCGGCCGACUCCGGCUCGAGCUGCCGCGAGCUCCAGUCCCUGCCACCUCUGAGCCGCGGCUAACCCCGGACCCGGCGACCUCCAGUUCCUGCCGCUAACGUUCCCCGGAGCCCCGUCUCCGAGAGUCAGAGUCCUGUUCUCAGUCUGAGCCCCAGUCUCUAGAGUCCUGUUCCCAGUCUGGGGACCUGGACGAAGGCCCGAGCAACCCUACUCCGGUCUGCCGAACGCUACGCAACAGCGGCUAACCGACACCGCACUCAAGCCCCCAUCUACCAGGUGGGUCAGAGGGUGUGGUUGUCGACCCGGGACCUACCCUUGCGGGUAGAGUCCAAGAAACUGGGCCCAAGAUUCAUCUGGCCUUUCGAGAUCGAGAGGAUCAUCAACCCGGCGGGAGUGAGGCUCAAGCUCCCCAGAUCCAUGCGCAUCCACCCCACAUUCCACGUAUCCAAGGUCAAACUGGUCCGGGAGAGGCCCUUGGUGCCGGCUGUUCCUCCUCCUCCGCCCCCUCGAGGGAGGUCCUGUCUCCACGAUUCAUCGCCUGCUUCGCUCCCGCCGCUGGGGGCGAGGUCUUCAGUACCUGGUCGACUGGGAAGAAUACGGUCCGUAGGAGAGGCAAUGGGUUCUGGCUUGUAACAUUUGCGACCCCCGACUCAACGACAGUUUUCAUCGACAGCACCCGGACCAGCCUUCCAGGACUAAGACGCCUGCCGGGAACACCCAGCCCCUGUUCGGACAAUGAGGGUCUUUCCUCCAGUUCCGUGGACCCCCUCCACCCACCCGGCUGUGGAUUCCGACUCUGCGGCCUCGGAGGAGUUCUAAUCAACAAAAUCAAAUAAAAAUGUAAUCAAUGUUCUAUGUUUCUACAUAGAACAUUGAUGCUAUCUAACUGCAAUCAGGCUCUGCCUUGCUUGCAGAAUAGGCAGGCCCAGAUCCCUUUGUUUCAAAGCACAUGGUCAGAUCCCAACAGUACGUUAGUACAUUCGUGGAUGUGUGCGAGCAGCAGUGACUGCAAUCCCAAUAAUAGCAGUAUCGGCAGCCGGAAUCGGGCCGGUGUAUUUGGCCCGAUUUUGGCUAGUAAUUCAUCAGCCGAGUCGGCAACCCGGACUCGGGCCGACGCGUUUCUUCCGGCAUGCCGAGCUUGUGCCGGAGCUGGGCCACGUCAUGUUG